GAUGAACGCUGGCGGCGUGCCUAAUACAUGCAAGUCGAGCGAACAGACGAGGAACUUGCUCCUCUGACGUUAGCGGCGGACGGGUGAGUAACACGUGGAUAACCUACCUAUAAGACUGGGAUAACUUCGUGAAACCGGAGCUAAUACCGGAUAAUAUAUUGAAACGCAUGGUUCAAUAGUGAAAGACGGUUUUGCUGUCACUUAUAGAUGGAUCCGCGCCGCAUUAGAUAGUUGGUAAGUUAACGACUUACCAAGGCAACAAUGCUUACAUGACCAGAGGGGGUGAUCGACAACACUGGACGGGAAACAGGGUCAAUACUCCUAGGGGAGGCAGCGGAAGGAACAUUAACGCAAUGGGCGAAAGCCUGACGGAGCACGGCCGCGGGAAUAAUGAAGGUCUCGGGAUCGUAAACCCCUGUUAGUCGGGAAGACAAAGUGUAUAAGUAACAAUGCAUGUCGUGACGGUACCUAACCAGAAAGGAACGGCUAACUACGUG
rnacentral:rRNA from 1 species